rnacentral:rRNA from 1 species
GACAGAGGGUGCAAACGUUGUUCGGAAUACUGGGCGUAAAGCGUGUGUAGGCUGCUACAUAAGUCGGAUGUGAAAGCCCCGGGCUCAACUCGGGAAGUGCACUCGAUACUGCGUAGCUUGAGUCUCGGAGAGGUUGGUGGAAUUCUCGGUGUAGAGGUGAAAUUCGUAGAUAUCGAGAGGAACACCGGUGGCGAAGGCGGCCAACUGGACGAAGACUGACGCUGAGACACGAAAGCGUGGGGAGCGAACAGG